UGGGGGAUAUUGCACAAUGGGCGAAAGCCUGAUGCAGCGACGCCGCGUGGGGGAUGAAGGCCUUCGGGUUGUAAACUUCUUUUGCUCUGAACAAGGCGCACCAUGGGGUGUGUUGCGUGUAGGGGUUGAUUAGCGCCGGCUAACUACGUGCCAGCAGCCGCGGUAAUACGUAGGGCGCGAGCGUUGUCCGGAAUUAUUGGGCGUAAAGGGCUUGUAGGUGGCUGGUUGCGUCUGUCGUGAAAGCUCAUGGCUUAACUGUGGGUUUGCGGUGGGUACGGGCUGGCUUGAGUGCAGUAGGGGAGGCUGGAAUUCCUGGUGUAGCGGUGGAAUGCGAAGAUAUCAGGAGGAAUACCGGUGGCGAAGGCGGGUCUCUGGGCUGUUACUGACACUGAGGAGCGAAAGCAUGGGGAGCGAACAGG
rnacentral:rRNA from 1 species